UACGGGAGGCAGCAGUGGGGAAUAUUGCACAAUGGGCGCAAGCCUGAUGCAGCGACGCCGCGUGGGGGAUGACGGCCUUCGGGUUGUAAACCUCUUUCAGUAGGGACGAAGCGCAAGUGACGGUACCUACAGAAGAAGCACCGGCCAACUACGUGCCAGCAGCCGCGGUAAUACGUAGGGUGCGAGCGUUGUCCGGAAUUACUGGGCGUAAAGAGCUCGUAGGUGGUUUGUCGCGUUGUUCGUGAAAACCGGGGGCUUAACCCUCGGCGUGCGGGCGAUACGGGCAGACUGGAGUACUGCAGGGGAGACUGGAAUUCCUGGUGUAGCGGUGGAAUGCGCAGAUAUCAGGAGGAACACCGGUGGCGAAGGCGGGUCUCUGGGCAGUAACUGACGCUGAGGAGCGAAAGCGUGGGGAGCGAACAGGAUUAGAUACCCUGGUAGUCCACGCCGUAAACGGUGGGUACUAGGUGUGGGUUUCCUUCCUUGGGAUCCGUGCCGUAGCUAACGCAUUAAGUACCCCGCCUGGGGAGUACGGCCGCAAGGCUAAAA
rnacentral:rRNA from 1 species